rnacentral:tRNA from 1 species
GCCGGAUUAGCUCAGCAGGUAGAGCGGCUGAUUUGUAAUCAGCAGGUCGGGGGUUCGAAACCCUCAUCCGGCACCA